rnacentral:lncRNA from 1 species
ACUAUAUAGAGCUUUUUUAACUAAGCAUUUCUUAAUUAUUUGUGACCUUUGAUUUUUUCAAGAAAAGAAAGAAGUUGUUUGUGCAGUUGUAAAUUAAAAGAAAUUAUCUGGAAACAUGUUCUAAAGUUACCUGAAACAGUUAUGGAAGCAAUUUAAAGUGAUUAGUCGAUCGAAAGGCGACCAGGACUCUGUGUAAGAUCGAUUCCUGGAUGAUGGAGAAAGCGCGCGAAUACACGGAGCAGUAAUAGUAAUUUCUGGGAAUACAGCGGUCGGUUUAUCAGAUAUUUUGGAAAUAUGAGGAAAACGGAUGAUAAAAUAUGUGUACAUAUAGAAAUGUUUCCGUCCAUUUUAUCAGUCCCAGGAACACAAAAAGAAACUGAAGAAACAAAAUUAACAACAACCAUACAGGAUAAAGGAAAACGUCGGGUGAUUCCGAAUAGUCCAUUAAUAAGGAGAAGGCUUGCAAGCAGUUCUAUGACAACUUUUGCGAAGUACAAAUUCUUCGAAGCUUUCUACAGCUGAUUUGCUGUACGUGAAAUCGUUCCAUAGGUUACCGCGGAUGUGGCCAUCGUCUUCUAAUAAACAUGCGGUGAAAACGACACAAAAGUAUAAAAUGGAUAAGGAAACUGACUAUUUAGCCAAGUCAACAGAAGUUUCUAGAGUUAGCUACCCUUGUUAUAAUGGCUGCGCAACUUGUGCUUUCACAUCUUGCUUUGGACCAGUAAAGGUCUUCUUUUCUCAGUUUAAAGAACCAAAAGAAUGCUUUGUUCGCGAAAUUCGGGACGGUCAAGGAAGAAAUGUAAUCCCGAGGUCGAGGAGAAAAGAAUUUCGAGGACUUGUUUAUGAUAAACAGACCCAUUCUCUGUACCCACCUCUUCCUAAAGGGCAUAAGAGUGCGCAGUUACAGACAAAUGGCACGAGAAAAAUAUUUUACUAACGUUGUUUUAUAUUUCUUUAUUCAGUAGUAAUUUCAUGAUAAAUAACAAUGACUUGUUAAUUAAAUGGAAUACUAUAUACCUGGUUUAAAAGAAUUUAAAAUCUCAUAUUGUUUCUGACUAGCCAAUUCAGAUAAGUUUCAGUUACAUACGUGUGCCAGUAAGAGGACUGGCUCUUUAGAUGUUACUUUUGAUGUACAAGCAUUGUGUCACACGCGUUUUUGUCAACUUCAGUCCCACGAACCAGUUGAACAGAAUGGCUAUAUCACGUUCCAUACAAGAAAGAAAUGUGUGAGGAAUAUAAUUUUAUAAUCCGAUUUAUCUCCGUGUAUAUUUAGUGGCAGGGUUAAAGUUAAUGUUAAUAAACUUGUUAAAGAUGUUUCAACAAACACCUGACUCAAGAGACUCGAAUAAACACAACGAAUGAUUGGGAAUGGUUCAUCGGAGUGUAUGUUUAUAUGUUAGGAAUAUCUGGUUAAAAUGUAAGAGUUGUAUUCUCUUGGGCCUUCGUGGCCGAGUGAUCGCUGACUUAGAAUAAUUUGUCCCUAAUCACUGUGGAUUCGAAACCUUUUGGAGUAUAGAAUUAUUUUAUGUGAAGAAAUCAUCCAGCUGGCAUACAAAAGGACAGUUGUUCUACCCAUGAAAUAAUACCCAGAGAAGCACCUAAGAUCUUCUUCUACUAUUGAAUGCUGGAACAUCGCCAUAUGGCAUAAAAUAUGCCAGUGCUAAUUAAAACCUGAAUUGAACGAGUACUUAAAAAUAUAGCAGGAAAAGUAUAUGCGGAUAAAAAUAACACAGCGCAGUUGAAGUUUUUCGAGUGAUAUGAUUUCAGUAAACCUUCUCGUGAUAUCGGAAGUUUAUUAUUUUUUGUAAGCGAGGUAUUAUCCUUAUCUUUCGCUAUAAUACUUUAUCAUUAGAUAUCGAUUUAAAUGUAGAAAACCUUCAUCACAUAUAACUUUGAUAAGGAGAUAGUA